rnacentral:rRNA from 1 species
CUACGGGAGGCAGCAGUAGGGAAUCUUCCGCAAUGGACGAAAGCCUGACGGAGCAACGCCGCGUGAGUGAUGAAGGUUUUCGGAUCGUAAAACUCUGUUGUUAGGGAAGAACAAGUUGGGUAGUAACUGACCCAACCUUGACGGUACCUAACCAGAAAGCCACGGCUAACUACGUGCCAGCAGCCGCGGUAAUA